UUUCCCUCAGGAUAGCUGGAGCCCAUUACGAGUUCUAUAAGGUAAAGCCAAUGAUUAGAGGCAUUGGGGGCGCAACGUCCUCGACCUAUUCUCAAACUUUAAAUAGGUAGGAUGGCGUGGCUUCUUCGGUGAGCAGGUAUAGUUGGUAUUCCCGGUUCUC
rnacentral:ncRNA from 1 species